rnacentral:rRNA from 1 species
GUAUAAGAGACAGCAGUCGCCACGGUAAUACGGAGGGUGCAAGCGUUAAUCGGAAUUACUGGGCGUAAAGCGCACGCAGGCGGUCUGACAAGUCAGAUGUGAAAUCCCCGGGCUUAACCUGGGAACUGCAUUUGAAACUGUCAGGCUGGAGUCUUGUAGAGGGGGGUGGAAUUCCAGGUGUAGCGGUGAAAUGCGUAGAGAUCUGGAGGAAUACCGGUGGCGAAGGCGGCCCCCUGGACAAAGACUGACGCUCAGGUGCGAAAGCGUGGGGAGCAAACAGGAUUAGAUACCCCAGUAGUCCCUGUCUCUUAUAA